rnacentral:RNase_P_RNA from 1 species
UGAGUAAGUUGGACGGACGCGGGCUGAAGGCGAAAGCAUCAGUCUGAGGAAAGUCCGGGCUCCAUAGGGCAGGAUGCCGGCUAACGGCCGGUGAAGGCGACUUUAAGGAUAGUGCCACAGAAACAAACCGCCGGCAUUUUGCCGGUAAGGGUGGAACGGUGCGGUAAGAGCGCACCGGCGGGCGGGAGACCGUCCGGCCAGGUAAACCCCAUCCGGAGCAAGACCGCAGGGCUUUUGCCCGAGAAAGGCAUGAGGAGCUGCCCGUUCCGCCUUUCGUAAAGGUCGCUGGAGGCCGCUGGCAACAGCGGUCCAAGAUAGAUGUCCGUCUUAAAUGACAGAACCCGGCUUACAGACUUGCUUGGCAC